rnacentral:rRNA from 1 species
CCUACGGGUGGCUGCAGUGGGGAAUAUUGGACAAUGGGCGAAAGCCUGAUCCAGCCAUGCCGCGUGUGAGAAGAAGGCCUUCGGGUUGUAAAGCACUUUCAGUGGGGAAGAAAGCCUUGGGGCUAAUACCCUCGAGGAAGGACAUCACCCACAGAAGAAGCACCGGCUAACUCCGUGCCAGCAGCCGCGGUAAUACGGAGGGUGCGAGCGUUAAUCGGAAUUACUGGGCGUAAAGCGCGCGUAGGCGGUCUGAUAAGCCGGUUGUGAAAGCCCCGGGCUCAACCUGGGAACGGCAUCCGGAACUGUCAGGCUAGAGUGCAGGAGAGGAAGGUAGAAUUCCCGGUGUAGCGGUGAAAUGCGUAGAGAUCGGGAGGAAUACCAGUGGCGAAGGCGGCCUUCUGGACUGACACUGACGCUGAGGUGCGAAAGCGUGGGUAGCAAACAGGAUUAGAUACCCGAGUAGUC